AUUGAACGCUGGCGGCAGGCCUAACACAUGCAAGUCGAGCGGAUGAAGGGAGCUUGCGCCUGGAUUCAGCGGCGGACGGGUGAGUAAUGCCUAGGAAUCUGCCUGGUAGUGGGGGAUAACGUCCGGAAACGGGCGCUAAUACCGCAUACGUCCUGAGGGUGAAAGUGGGGGAUCUCCGGACCGCACGCGAUCAGAUGAGCCUAGGUCGGAUUGGCUAGUUGGUGGGGUAAAGGCCUACCAAGGCGACGAUCCGUAACUGGUCUGCGAGGAUGAUCAGUCACACUAGAACUGGGCCACGGUCCAGGCUCCUACGGGAGGCAGCAGUGGGGAAUAUUAGACAAUAGGCGAAAGCCUGAUCCAGCCGUGCCGCGUGUGUGACGAAGGUCUUCGGAUUGUAAAGCACUUUAAGUUGGGGGGAAGGGCAGUAAGUUAAUACCUUGCUGUUUUGACGUUACCAACAGAAUAAGCACCGGCUAACUUCGUG
rnacentral:rRNA from 1 species